rnacentral:miRNA from 1 species
ACCACAUUAAUUUCAGCAGCC